UUUUCAUUUUUAGUGAUUAGAAUAAUCACCUGAUAAAGGUGAAUUUUAAAGUAGGAGUCAUAGAAGCUUAAGCAAGGAAGCAUACGUCUAUGAGAGUGAGAUCAGAUUGUAAAGCUAGUAACAGUGUGCAGGAUCAUUGACACUGAGCAAGCCAACUGUGCUAACAGCAUAUUCUCAAGACAUUUUUAGCUGUAUAAGAAUUAGUUUCAAUUCUACUUCAAAGAUACCUUGUUCUAAUUUUUAUUCAAAACUAAUCAUAUUUACAAAGUAACAACCUAAAUGUAAAAUAGGAUGUGUUUUAAGCAAAACAAUUGUGAACAGUUAAUUAAAAAGAAAAUUAGUGACUUUGUUGAUGUUAUAAUGACUAUGGAAUAAAAUGAAUGAGGUGUAGAAGGGCCAAGAGAUUGCGAUGUAGAAGUCACCUACACAGAAAUGCAAGCUGGAGCCAGGGGGUCUCUGAGGCCAGAGUGUGUGGUGAGAACUGAGACUGAGUCGUGAACAUGCUGUACCCCUCCCUGUUGGGAGUGUGGAUGAAGAAGGUAAGCUAGAUAAAGUGCUUGAUAGGUGUUUCAGAGAAAAAUUGCAGUGGUCCAGUUAAGCAGGAAAGGACGACUUUAUUCAUGACAGUACAAUAGAAGAGAAAUUGAGGACUGAAGGUGUGGCUCAAGUGGUUGAGCACCUCUUUUGCAAGCACAAAGUCCUGAGUUCAAACCCUAGUCCCACAAAAAAUAAAAAGUAAAAAAAGAAAAAGUGAUGGGAGAUUGAACGCAAGUGUGCUGAGACAAAAGGCAGGAGGGUAUGAAAGCUCUGGGGUGAGUUAACGUCCAUGCUGGAGGACAUUGUGGGGAGUUUGUUCAAUGUGGUCAGUCCUCUGUGUUUGUGAAUCAAGGCUUAUUGAACUUAGGCCUCCUCAGAGACUGGGAAAACAGCUCUAUCUUUCUUGAUGGUUACACGUCAAGGAGCAUUGCUCCCAUAUUCUUGGGAAAGACAUUUCUGGGCUUUAAAACUGGCAAGAAGCUGGGAGAAGAUUAGCAUCUCAAGGGGGCAGAGAAAGACUGUGCAAUUUCAUGUUUUCUAAAGUAAAUGCUCUAAGGAAAGGGAGGUCAGGGGAUGCAGCCAGGGAGAAGUUCACGUUAAGUUUCGUCAAAUUCAGGGGAACUUUAAGACCAUGUUGGUCAGGUAGUUCAGUCACUGGUUCAGGGAACUGUUAGAUAGAGCUGCAUGGAAAGAAAGUCCUCCAUAGGAAGGGAGCUCAUGACAAAGUCCUUUGGUUCAGUAGUGAAAUGAUCGAUGGUCUUUAUGAAGUAUUAGUAGGAUGAUGCAUUGAUGAAUGUAAUGACCACAAGUUCAGGCAGCCAGGGAGACAUACAGCAGGGAGCCUGACUAGUGUUUUGUCUGACCACUCCCUCCUUAGAAAGAACUCCCCUCACCCCACACCCCAUGUAGUGCUGUGAGCCCCCAGGGAGCUCUCCUUGUAUUCAUUCCUAAGUCAAAGUCACCAACACCUGCAGUUUCUUUCCAUUUCUGAGCUCUUUCUCUUGAAGUCUAGCCUUCCCCACAUGUGCUAGACAUGUCUAUUUUCUGUUCAUCACUGGCUGGGGACCAAGAGAUGAGAGUGGAGAGAGGGAAGAGAAAAGGUAGAGAAGUGAAGGAAAAUUCAGAUUUAUACAACCAUGAGAUGUUUCAUGACUUGGAAACACAUGAAAGUGAAAUUUUUUUCCAUUCCUUUCCUCAGAGAAGGGUUAUUUAUACUUUUUAAAUGUUCCAAGACAAAUGUAGAAUCUGUUAGCUUUUGAGUCAUUGAUUUGGUAUUGAUAAGAUAUGAAAAUAAUACUUUUAAAAAGUGAAAUAAAUGCUGAUUUCUCUCUUUCUUAGAUAAAGCUAUUUUGGAGUAAAGUUAAUCCUGAAUGAUCUGAGUAAGUUUCUCUGAGGAUCUCUGUGAUACAGCCUGACUCCUUAGUUGGGAUUGUAGCUGGUGACAAAAUUGUGAAUCUGAUGAAUCCCUCAAAGGACAUUAAAUGGAAAAUAUGACACUGCAGAGUAUGCCGAGAGGUUUGUGGAUGAACAUGAUGGAUAUCUGAUCUAAAGACCACAUAUGAGGGAGAACAUACAUUUUUGGCUUUCUGAGUCUGGUUAACUUGGGUUAAUGUUCCACCUCGUCCGGAUCUGCUCUCACCCAUCAUGAUGCAUGUUGCCGAGUGGGAGGAAGUGACCAUGGUCUUGUGGACCCUGGGCUUAGAGGGAAGCACUCUCCCAUUGAGCCACAUCCCCAGCAGUGUGAAUACUUUCUGGUUGAACAUGAAGAUUUGGAUAUGUGGAAUUUAAUGAACUUGGAAGAACAUCUAGGCCAUGACAUGGAAUUUUCACCUGGGCUCCUCUCUAGAUCAUUGAUAUGAUUGCUCUCUAUUUGUUUUCUGUCAUUCUUUUUCUUUCUUUUCUUAUUGAGGUGCUGUGGCAGGAAGUGAGUACCUUGUCCUUGCUGGGCAAGCACUGUAACACUUGAACCAUGCCCAGUCCUGUUCUCUAGUUAUAUUUUGGACAUUUUGGAAGAUUGUGUGCCUCCAAUUUGUAUUGAAACUAUGCUGUUAUUUUGGAAUCAAUUAAAAGCAGCCAAUGUUUUUGAAACUGCAUGCAACAUGAAAGUGUUUCCUAGCCAUAUCCCUUUUAAUCAGAUUUUGUGUAAAGUUUGGUGUUCUCUUGUUAAUAGAGCUUCUGCAUAUAUCUAUCAUCACCUUUAUUGCUUAUCAGAAUUCUCCAUUCGCCCUCUCCAUAGACUAUGAAUAGAGGUCAUUGUGUUCAUUUUUAUAUCAUUGGCCAUUGUACUACAGCCUAAUUUUCUUUAUAUUUUAUUUGGAGAUAAUUUUAGAGUUACAGAAAAGUUGAAAAAAUGGAGAUAGAUGAUCCAAAGUGUGUAUGGCCACAUGACUUUUUAAGUUAUAAAAUCUAGGAAAGUGGAUGAUUGUAACAUCUAUGGGUGGCAUAGACAAGGGUAAUCAGCAAGAAGGUGCUAAGAAGAGGAGAGUUGAAAAAUUGCAGUUAACUUUAGUAAUGUGAUUUAACUUUAAAAUUCAUGCCUCAAAAAAUGCGUGCCUAUUGUGAAUUGUGAUGCAUUAAACACGGAGGUGCAGGUGCCUUUGGAGUAAAGUGAGUCACAUUCUUUGGGCAUAUCCCUAGUUGUGGGAUUGCUGGAUCACAUGUCAGAUCUAUUCUUAGUUUUUAAAGAAACCUCCAUAUUGUUCUCCAGAGUGUUUGUACUAGCUUGCAUUCCCACCAGCAGUGUGUGAUGGUUCCUUUGUCUCCAUAUUGUUGCCAACAUUUCUUGGUGGUGGUGUAUUUGUUCACAACUAUUCUAACAGGAGAGGGGUGGAUUCUAAAAGUCAUGUCGAUUUGCAUUUAAGAUAGACCUUUUUAAGGGAAGGGUGAUUUUAAUUUCCUUGAGGACUCAUGGCUUUCAUGGGCAGGAAAAUAGUGGGACUACGUUUGUUGUCAUGGAGUGGAAACAGUCUCCAUCAUCUCCUGGACUAUGUAGCAGUGCUGCUAAGUGAACCCCACUUCUCAGAACAUUCCCAUGACCACAGGGAGAUGGUGUGUGUGUGGUGGAAGGAAUUCAGUUGAGUUCAUAAACUCUGUGCCACCUGAGAUUUGAGCAGAUAAUUGGUAAAAUCUACAUGGAAUUUUAUAGUUAGCCAUGUAGCAACAGAUGAAAUGAGAUGAAUCAAAUUUCAAAAAUAUCCCAGCAGUGAUAGGAAUACAGAGAGAACACUUGAUUUUUUGCCAAUUGAGAGAACAAAAUUGGAGUGAAGUUUGAAAAUACGUAUUUAUUCUCUACCCAACAGUCAUGAUAAUAUAGUGGUCAUUAUGAAGAUAUAACCAUCAUAGAAAAAUUUUUGUGGAGUAAGGAUCAGUACCUGGUAUUCUGACCUUACGAACUAUUCCUUGAGAAUUUGGCAUGUACUUUUUUUAUGUGCAGUGGUUAUGAAAUUAUAUGUAUAAAUGACAUAGAGUAUUAAAAUUCAUCC